UACGUAGGGUCCGAGCGUUGUCCGGAAUUAUUGGGCGUAAAGGGCUCGUAGGCGGUCUGUCGCGUCGGGAGUGAAAACUUACAGCUUAACUGUGAGCGUGCUUCCGAUACGGGCAGACUUGAGGUAUUCAGGGGAGAACGGAAUUCCUGGUGUGAGCGGUGAAUGCGCAGAGUAUACAGGAGGAACACCCGGGUGGCGAAGGCGGUUCACUGG
rnacentral:rRNA from 1 species